rnacentral:sRNA from 1 species
UUUGCGCCAGGGAUAGCAGCGGCAUCCCCCCAACUCGUUUGGGGGAUACAGCGGAUAGCCCGCCCUCCU